CACAUUUGCUUCAUUUAAUAUGCUACAAAAAGAUCACAACCUUCCCAACAAUCACUUUUUCAGGUACUUACAGGUACGUAGUUUUGCCAGGAAACAUUUCCCAUUUCCCUCCUUAUCACCUAAAAAUGCAACCGAUAUCAUACUGGACCUGGACCCUAUGUUGAAAAAAAGGGUGUCUAAAAUCUACAAAACAGUACUAGGCAUUAGCCCCCCUCAGUGGGACAAGGCCAGACUGGCAUGGGAAGAGGACCUAGGUGUUGCACUGUCUGACGAGACAUGGCAAUGUAGCUUAAAACGCAUACAUACCACUUCUUUAUGCUUAAAACACGGUCUUAUUCAAUUUAAAAUUGUGCAUCGGUUGCAUUAUUCACCAGAGAAACUGGCCAAAAUAUAUCCUGGCACCAAUCCUGUGUGUCCGAGGUGUGGCCACAGUCCAGCUAAAUUAGGUCACAUGUUUUGGUCUUGCAAUUCGCUUAAUAACUUCUGGGUCAGGGUCUUUGAAGCAAUCUCCUCCAUUUGUGACAGAACAGUGAAUCCCGAUCCAACAGUUGCUAUUUUCGGGGUAUUCCCAUCAGAAGAACCAUUCACUGUCCCCCAGGUAAAUGCUGUAGCAUUUAUAACACUACUAGCCCGGAGACAAAUUCUUUUGCUCUGGAAGUCUGUAACACCCCCCUCGUUUAGACACUGGAUCAAAGAGGUACUCUCUGUGAUCCCAUUAGAGAAGUUAAGAUAUAAUCGGAGUAAUUUACGGGACAGGUACAUUAAAACCUGGGCCCCCUUUAUAGAAUUUGUUGAAAAUGUAUCCUUCACAUGAUGUAAUUCUUUACAUAUCAAUGUACUGCCAACUGGAUCUACUGAUGUAUGUCAUGAUGAUAUAUGUGGUAUAACGUUACAGGAUAUUCCCAUUUUGAGAAUUGUAAAGUGAUAUACAGGAAACGUUUGUAACUAUGUUUUGUGUACCUACCUCUACUGUUUGUUUGUUUUUGUUUGUCUUGUUUUGUGUUUUGUUUUUUGGUUGUCUUUCUUUUUUUUUUUUGAGCCUUGGGGGGUGGGAUG
rnacentral:lncRNA from 1 species